UACGUAGGGUGCAAGCGUUAAUCGGAAUUACUGGGCGUAAAGCGUGCGUAGGCGGUCUUGCAAGACAGAUGUGAAAUCCCCGGGCUCAACCUGGGAACUGCAUUUGUGACUGCAAGGCUGGAGUGCGGCAGAGGGGGAUGGAAUUCCGCGUGUAGCAGUGAAAUGCGUAGAUAUGCGGAGGAACACCGAUGGCGAAGGCAGUCCCCUGGGCCUGUACUGACGCUCAUGCACGAAAGCGUGGGGAGCAAACAGG
rnacentral:rRNA from 1 species